rnacentral:rRNA from 1 species
CCUACGGGAGGCAGCAGUAGGGAAUCUUCCACAAUGGGCGAAAGCCUGAUGGAGCAACGCCGCGUGAGUGAUGAAGGCCUUCGGGUUGUAAAACUCUGUCAUUCGGGACGAACCGGAGUCUGAGGAAAUGCAGACUCUCUGACGGUACCGGAGGAGGAAGCCCCGGCUAACUACGUGCCAGCAGCCGCGGUAAUACGUAGGGGGCAAGCGUUGUCCGGAUUCACUGGGCGUAAAGCGCGCGCAGGCGGUGAUGUAAGUCUGAGGUGAAAACCCGAAGCUCAACUUCGGGACUGCCUUGGAUACUGCGUCACUUGAGGAUAGGAGAGGCAAGGGGAAUUCCACGUGUAGCGGUGAAAUGCGUAGAGAUGUGGAGGAACACCUGUGGCGAAGGCGCCUUGCUGGCCUAUUCUGACGCUGAGGCGCGAAAGCGUGGGGAGCAAACAGGAUUAGAUACCCUGGUAGUCCACGCUGUAAACGAUGAGUGCUAGGUGUAGGUGGGCUCAUACCCAUCUGUGCCGAAGCUAACGCAUUAAGCACUCCGCCUGGGGAGUACGGUCGCAAGACUGAAACUUAAGAGUUAGAGCGUUGAGACGNGCGACGGACGACGACGAGGGAGGAGG